GCCUCGAUGGUGCAGUGGCAGAGCACGCGUCCCCGGAUAUGAUGAAACGCGGGUUCGAUUCACGCCUGAGGCC